rnacentral:rRNA from 1 species
GACGUAGGGCGCAAGCGUUGUCCGGAUUUAUUGGGCGUAAAGAGCUCGUAGGCGGUUUGUCGCGUCUGCUGUGAAAACCCGAGGCUCAACCUCGGGCCUGCAGUGGGUACGGGCAGACUAGAGUGCGGUAGGGGAGAUUGGAAUUCCUGGUGUAGCGGUGAAAUGCGCAGAUAUCAGGAGGAACACCGGUGGCGAAGGCGGUUCUCUGGGCCUUACCUGACGCUGAGGAGCGAAAGCGUGGGGAGCAAACAGG